AAUGACUGAGCGGCGAACGGGUGAGUAACGCGUGAGCAAUCUACCUUAGUUACAGGGAUAGCCCGAGGAAACUCGGAUUAAUACCUGAUAUUCUUUAUAUUUCGCAUGAAAUUAAAAGGAAAGGUCAGCCGAACUAAGAUGAGCUCGCGUUCUAUCAGCUAGUUGGUGAGGUAAAAGCUCACCAAGGCUACGACGGAUAGCUGGUCUGAGAGGACGAUCAGCCACACUGGGACUGAGACACGGCCCAGACUCCUACGGGAGGCUGCAGCAGGGAAUAUUGCGCAAUGAGCGAAAGCUUGACGCAGCGACACCGCGUGUGGGAUGACGGAUCUAGGUUUGUAAACCACUUUCAGGAGGGAAGAAAAUGACGGUACCUCCACAAGAAGCCCCGGCCAACUACGUGCCAGCAGCCGCGGUAAUACGUAGGGGGCGAGCGUUGUCCGGAUUUAUUGGGCGUAAAGAGCUCGUAGGCGGUUCAACAAGUCGGUCGUGAAAGUUCAGGGCUCAACCCUGAAAUGUCGAUCGAUACUGUUGUGACU
rnacentral:rRNA from 1 species